ACAGAUUUCUAUGUCUUCUAUCAAUGCUAUCCAUGUGCAGGGACUUUCCCGGGUAACUCAAGAUGACAGGGAUAAGGCAGGAAAGGCACAGGUGUGUCAGUACAUCUCUCUGUGCUGUGCCCGGAACCCAGGCCGUGACUGCUGCACAUCGCUAGCUGACUCACAGCGUCUGGCUCCCCAACACAGCAUGGCUUGGAGCACAUUUUGGAGUUAUCACAGAAGGUAACUAGGCAGGAAUGCCCACAGGAUGCUCCCUUCUUUGUGUUGUGCAUCCUUCAUGAUGAACCUGCCACAAGCCACAGCUUGUAAGAUGUUGGCGUUGGAUGAACCCUUACAGAGGUUCCAGUGACAAUCUGUCAGCACCAUGAGGGGUUCUGGCUCCAGCACAGGCUCGGGAGCUCCUGCAGGUGUCGUGCUCUGUUCUGUAUCUCUGGUAUGUUCAUGGUCUCUCGAGAUGGUGAGUCUACCUGCUUUCUAGACCUGUGAAGCUUAAACAA